rnacentral:tRNA from 1 species
GGGGAUGUAGCUCAGUGGUAGAGUACUGGCCUUGUAUGCCUGAGGCCCUAGGUUCAAUCCCCAGCACCAACA